rnacentral:rRNA from 1 species
CGCGUAGGCGGUUAUUCAAGUCUGGGGUGAAAGGUUCAGCGCUCAACGUGAACAGUGCCUUGGAUACUGGAUGACUUGAGUCUGGGAGGGGGAAGGGGAAUUCCUGGUGUAGCGGUGAAAUGCGUAGAUAUCAGGAGGAACACCGGUGGCGAAGGCGCCUUCCUGGCCUAAGACUGACGCUGAGGUGCGAAAGCGUGGGGAGCAAACG